ensembl:miRNA Gm23335 predicted gene, 23335
UGUGUGUGUGUGUGUGUGUGUGUGUGUGUGUAAUAGCUAUAUAUGUACACACACACACACACACACACACACACACACACACACACUCAU